GAAGAUGUGGCUCAACUGUAGAGCGCUUGCCCAGCAUACAUGAAGCCCUGGGUUUGAUCCCCAGGAUCAUCA
rnacentral:tRNA from 1 species